rnacentral:rRNA from 1 species
UACGUAGGGUGCGAGCGUUAAUCGGAAUUACUGGGCGUAAAGCGUGCGCAGGCGGCUUUGCAAGACAGAUGUGAAAUCCCCGGGCUUAACCUGGGAACUGCAUUUGUGACUGCAUGGCUGGAGUGCGGCAGAGGGGGAUGGAAUUCCGCGUGUAGCAGUGAAAUGCGUAGAUAUGUGGAGGAACACCGAUGGCGAAGGCAGCCCCCCUGGGUCAAGAUUGACGCUCAUGCACGAAAGCGUGGGGAGCAAACAGG